rnacentral:tmRNA from 1 species
GGGGGCGAAACGGUUUCGACGGGGGUACAUAAGCCCAGGCUGCAUGCCGAGUUCUCUUCACACUCGUUAAACAGGUUGAACAUAAACACAGUCGCAGACGACUAUAAUUACGCCGUAGCAGCUUAAUCACUGCUACCGUCUUCUCUUGCCCUCUCCCAUGGGGUGGGAUGCGGACGCCGACUUCAUGGGAUAGCCUCCCGGUGCUCCUGCCGCCGCCUGGCGAAACUUAGCUGGAUAGCGCUAAAAGCCUUUUGGUCCUGGAAGGGCUGAGGCGCGAUAAGCAAUUAAUCAGGAACACGCAUGUAGACGCUUGAGGGGGAGUAUUUUCGGACCCGGGUUCAACUCCCGGCGCCUCCACCA